rnacentral:rRNA from 1 species
CCUACGGGAGGCAGCAGUGAGGAAUAUUGGUCAAUGGACGAGAGUCUGAACCAGCCAAGUAGCGUGAAGGAUGACUGCCCUCUGGGUUGUAAACUUCUUUUAUAUGGGAAUAAAAUGUUCCACGUGUGGGAUUUUGUAUGUACCAUAUGAAUAAGGAUCGGCUAACUCCGUGCCAGCAGCCGCGGUAAUACGGAGGAUCCGAGCGUUAUCCGGAUUUAUUGGGUUUAAAGGGAGCGUAGGUGGAUUGUUAAGUCAGUUGUGAAAGUUUGCGGCUCAACCGUAAAAUUGCAGUUGAAACUGGCAGGCUUGAGUACAGGAGAGGUGGGCGGAAUUCGUGGUGUAGCGGUGAAAUGCUUAGAUAUCACGAAGAACUCCGAUUGCGAAGGCAGCUCACUGGACUGCAACUGACACUGAGGCUCGAAAGCGUGGGUAUCAAACAGGAUUAGAUACCCGGGUAGUC